GUCUACAGCCAUACCACCAUGAAUGUGCCUGAUCUCAUCUGAUCUCAGAAGUUAAGCAGGGUCGGGCCUGGUUAGUACUUGGAUAGGAGAAGUAAAUGAAAGCACAGGGUAAUGAUGGCU
rnacentral:rRNA from 1 species